rnacentral:rRNA from 1 species
AGUGAACGCUGGCGGUAGGCCUAACACAUGCAAGUCGAACGGCAGCACAGUAAGAGUUUGCUCUUACGGGUGGCGAGUGGCGUACGUGUGAGGAAUAUAUCGUAAUCUACUUUUUCGUGUGGGAUAACGUAGGUAAACUUACUCUAAUACCGCAUACGAUCUACGGGUGUAAGCAUUGGAUCUUUGGACCUUUCGCGAUUGAAUGAGCCGAUGUGGGAUUAGCUAGUUGGGUGGGUAAAUGCCCACCCAGGGGACGAUCCGUUGCUGGUGGGAGAGGAUGGUCAGCCACACUGGAACUGGAACACGGUCCAGACUCCUACGGGAGGGAGCAGAGGGGAAUGUUAGACAAUAGGGGGAAGCAUGAUACAGCGAUACGGAGUGGGAGAAAAAGGCCUUGGGGUUGUAAAGCCGUUUUGUUGGGAAAGAAAAGCAGCAGGUUAAUACGAAGCUGGAGUGACGGUAACGAAAAAAUAAGCACCGGCUAACUUCGUG